AAACCAACAGGGAUUGCCUUAGUAACGGCGAGUGAAGCGGCAAAAGCUCAAAUUUGAAAUCUGGCGUCUUUGGCGUCCGAGUUGUAAUUUGAAGAUGGCAACUUUGGGUCUGGUGCUUGUCUAAGUUCCUUGGAACAGGACGUCAUAGAGGGUGAGAAUCCCGUAUGAUGAGAGAGCCAGAUCUUUGUAAAGUGCCUUCGAAGAGUCGAGUUGUUUGGGAAUGCAGCUCUAAGUGGGUGGUAAAUUCCAUCUAAAGCUAAAUAUUGGCGAGAGACCGAUAGCGAACAAGUACAGUGAUGGAAAGAUGAAAAGAACUUUGAAAAGAGAGUGAAAAAGUACGUGAAAUUGUUGAAAGGGAAGGGUUUGAGAUCAGACAUGGUAUUUUGUACACCUUCUCUCUCGGGAGGGGGCCUCUGCAGUUUACUGGGCCAGCAUCAGUUUGGACGGUAGGAUAAUGACCAGGGAAUGUGGCUCUUCUUCGGGAGAGUGUUAUAGCCUUGGUUGAUACUGCCAGUCUAGACUGAGGACCGCGUCUUGACAAGGAUGU
rnacentral:rRNA from 1 species